ACCAAAAUCGUGAAAACCCUAGUCUCGACACAUGUGAAGAGUCGAUUGUGCUCUCUCAUCUGGUAGCGAUUCCGAACUCGAUUCCGGUGUUGAUUGCGACGGAGAUUUGGGUGGCGAUUCUGGGGGAGUUUUGGAUAGCGAUUUGGGUGGAUAUUUGUGUGGCUAUUCCGGUGUAGUUUUGGGUGGCGAUUCUGUUGCUUUCUUCUGGUAGCGAUUCCGGUGAAGAUUUCGGUUGCGUCGUUUGUCAACAAUUACAGUAAGAGACGAGAUGAUUAGAUUGUACUUAGAGUAUGUGGUUACCGGCGUCGUGAGACGGUCCGUCCGUUGUUGCUUCCCGGAAGGAUUUAGAUUCGUUUGCUUCCGAAUGAAUGUCGUCGUCCUCUGAGUGUCGUCGUCUCUUGGUUCGUUGCAGAGAGUCUUUGAUUAGUUGUGAAGAUUUGCAGUUUUUAUGCUCGUUUGUUUUAAUUGAGAUGUUCAGAAGUUUUACCAUCAAUGUGACCCUCUGUAGGAGUUCCUUUUGGGGUCUGGAUUUGGGAAGAAUUUGUGAUGGAAAAUGCAUUCGUUUUUGCUUCAUGAGCAUUUUUUGUUGGGCAAAGUUUUCUGCUCAGUUUUCUACAGAGUUUUCUGCUCAGUUUUCUACAGAGUUUUCUGCUUAGUGUUCUAUCUUAAUAUCCCUUGUACACAUGUUUGGUAAAGUUUACAUUAACGGUUAUGGUAGCUGCAACGUUCUAGCAUCUCAUUAGCUGUUGUUACAGUCUCUGUGGUACACCUCUAAACUUGAGACAUCUUGUUCUGUGAAAAAACUCUGUAGAAGUGAUUAUCAUUUUAUAUCGUUUACUUCAGUAGAGAGAGAAUUGUUGUGAAGCACUCCAGGCUGAAUCAAUUUUGCUGAUUUAUAUUAAAUUUAAUGUUUAUCUGAUCAGUGGUUACAAGCUAUAUCUACUUAUCUCGUUGUUCUCAAAUCCCUAGGGUGCUAUUAUGGCUGUUAGUUCUAGUUUAAAAUGCAGGUUCUUGUUUUGUCAAUAAUUGUAGGUUCUGUUUUUGGUUUUCAAAAUGCAGGCUCUGGUUUUUUAAAAACUGCAGGUUCUAGUUUAAAAUGCAGGUUCUGGUUUUGGUGUUUGAAAUGCAGGUUCUUGUUUUAAAGUUUCACGUUUUGGUUGUAGAUGAGCUCAGAACCAACUUCAACACUGGCAGAACAAAGAGCUAUGAAUGGAGAUUUUCUCAGCUUCAAAACAUUUCUAGGAUGCUUCGCAAUAAGGAGAAUUGCAUCACAGAAGCUUUGUAUCAAGAUCUUUCCAAGCCUGAGCUUGAAGCUUUUCUUGUCUACAUUCUAGUUGUCCGUUGUCGAAUUACUUUCAAGAGUGUGUGUCAAAUUUAAAUUUGAAACACUUGUCCCUGAACCUCAUUGGAGAUGACCUAACAGUUCUAAACAAACGUCUCAUGUUGUGUGCUUCUUAUCUCUCUAAGAACAAAUUAAAACAAUCUUCGUUGGGAUAUUGUUUUGUUUUGAAAUUUAUGAAAUUAUUAUUUUUAUCUUCA